AAAUUGUCAGUUAUUACCCUUUAAAACAUAAAUUAUAUAAAUAUAAAUUAUCAAGUCUUGUUUUAGUAUAUAUACGAAAACGUUUUGAGUCAGUUUAAUUCGAAGAAUACCUGCAGUUAACAACCAACGAUUCAUAAUGAAGUGGUGCUUUGUUUUUGCCGUCUUUGCCAUCGCUGUGUUUUCCUUUGACUUUGGAAGUGCUAGAGACCCAACUCCAACACUAACAGUCAUUCCUAAAGACUCAUCAAGAUGCACUGGAGUUCAGAAAUGUAACGAUGAAUGUAAGGCAGCAGGUUUCUGGAAGGGUGAAUGCAAUUUAUGCAAAUCCAACUACUGCUCAUGUUUUUAUAAUUAAAAUGUAAACAGUAACUGAAACAAAUAAAGUUUGUUCCCCGAUUAAUAA